rnacentral:rRNA from 1 species
AGAAGAAGGCGUAGGGAUGUAAAGUAUUUCAGCGGGAGGAGGGAGAAAGUUAUACUUUGUUAAUGACGUGACGGCAGAAGAAGUAUCGGGAAAUUCGUGGGAGGAGCAGCGGUAAUAAGGUGGUGCAGCGUAAUGAGAAAUACUGGGGGUAAAGCGCAUGGAGGGGGUUUGUUAAGUUAGAUGUGAGAUUCACGGGGUCGACGUGGGAACUGCAUCGGAUACUGGCAAGCGUGAGUCUCGUAGAGGGGGGUAGAAUUGCAGGUGUAGCGGUGAGAUGUGUAGAGAUGUGGAGGAAUACCGGUGGUGAAGGCGGGUCCGUGGACGAAGAUUGAGGAUCAGGUGCGAAAGCGUGGUGAGCAAACAGGAUUAGAUAACCUGGUAGUCCACGCAGUAAACGAUGUCGACUUGGAGGUUGUGGCAUUGAGGCGUGGCUUCCGGAGCUAACGCGUUAAGUGGACCGCAUGGGGAGUACGGCCGCAAGGUUAAAACUCAAAUGAAUUGACGGGGGCCCGCACAAGCGGUGGAGCAUGUGGUUUAAUUCGAUGCAACGCGAAGAACCUUACCUGGUCUUGACAUCCACAGAACUUUCCAGAGAUGGAUUGGUGCCUUGGGGAACAGUGAGACAGGUGCUGCAUGGCUGUCGUCAGCUCGUGUUGUGAAAUGUUGGGUUAAGUCGAAGCAACGAGUGCAACCCUUAUCAUGGGUUGCCAGCGGUCGGGCCGGGAACUCAAAGGAGACUGCCAGUGAUAAACUGGAGGAAGGUGGGGAUGACGUCAAGUCAUCAUGGCCGUUACGACCAGGGCUACACACGUGCUACAAUGGCGCAUACAAAGAGAAGCGACCUCGCGAGAGCAAGCGGACCUCAUAAAGUGCGUCGUAGUCGGGAUUGGAGUCUGCAACUCGACUCCAUGAAGUCGGAAUCGCUAGUAAUCGUGGAUCAGAAUGCCACGGUGAAUACGUUGGCAGGGCCUUGUGACACACCGCCCGUCACACCCAUGGGAGUGGGUUGCAAAAGAAGUAUUUGAAGUUAGAUCCUUGG